ACGGCCGCAAGGUUAAAACUCAAAUGAAUUGACGGGGGCCCGCACAAGCGGUGGAGCAUGUGGUUUAAUUCGAUGCAACGCGAAGAACCUUACCUGGUCUUGACAUCCACGGAAGUUUUCAGAGAUGAGAAUGUGCCUUCGGGAACCGUGAGACAGGUGCUGCAUGGCUGUCGUCAGCUCGUGUUGUGAAAUGUUGGGUUAAGUCCCGCAACGAGCGCAACCCUUAUCCUUUGUUGCCAGCGGUCCGGCCGGGAACUCAAAGGAGACUGCCAGUGAUAAACUGGAGGAAGGUGGGGAUGACGUCAAGUCAUCAUGGCCCUUACGACCAGGGCUACACACGUGCUACAAUGGCGCAUACAAAGAGAAGCGACCUCGCGAGAGCAAGCGGACCUCAUAAAGUGCGUCGUAGUCCGGAUUGGAGUCUGCAACUCGACUCCAUGAAGUCGGAAUCGCUAGUAAUCGUGGAUCAGAAUGCCACGGUGAAUACGUUCCCGGGCCUUGUACACACCGCCCGUCACACCAUGGGAGUGGGUUGCAAAAGAAGUAGGUAGCUUAACCUUCGGGAGGGCGCUUACCACUUUGUGAUUCAUGACUGGGGUGAAGUCGUAACAAGGUAACCGUAGGGGAACCUGCGGUUGGAU
rnacentral:rRNA from 1 species